UUUAAGCUGCAGUUUCUGAGCAUGACUGCGGUCCAGGAUCUUCAACACAAACAGCGUCAGAGUGGCGUUUUUCACGGCCAAUCUAAUGGAACAUGAGGAAAUGUGGAAACACGGAUGAAUCAGAGCAAAAUAAUGUGGAGCACACAGUCAACCAGUAACUUUCCUACAAAAAUAGGCCAGAGGGAUUAAAAUAUGUCAGCAUGCUGUGAUUCUCCAUUGGCUCCAUCAUCAAAGACUACAGAUGGCAGACUGGGUCAAGGCCAACUACAUCAUUUCAUCCAUAGCAGAGGUUAACAAAGGACGUUAUUUGUGGUGUGAAGGCAGAUACAAAGUGUCUGUGUGAGUAUAUGAACUAACCUUCUGAGGCUCUCCA